CCCUUAGAUGUUCUGGGCCGCACGCGCUACACUGAUGCAUUCAACGAGUUUCUUCCUGGUCCGAGAGGAAUGGGUAACCUUUUGAAAGUGCAUCGUGAUAGGGAUAGACUAUUGCAAUUAUUGGUCUUCAACGAGGAAUUCCUAGUAGACGUAGUUCAUCAGACUGCAUCGAUUACGUCCCUGCCCUUUGUACACACCGCCCGUCGCUCCUACCGAUUGAAUGCUCAGGUGAGCCAUUCGGACUUUCAUCAUGCUGGUUUCCAGUUUUGAUGAAGGAAAGUCUUGCGAACCUUAUCAUUUAGAGGAAGGAGAAGUCGUAACA
rnacentral:rRNA from 1 species